UACGUAGGCAGCAAGCGUUGUUCGGAAUUACUGGGCGUAAAGCGUGUGUAGGCGGUGUUCUAAGUCUGUUGUGAAAUCUCCCGGCUUAACUGGGAGGGUGCGGUGGAUACUGGAAUGCUAGAGGAUGGGAGAGGUAAGCGGAAUUCCUGGUGUAGCGGUGAAAUGCGUAGAUAUCAGGAGGAACACCUGUGGUGUAGACAGCUUACUGGACCGUUUCUGACGCUGAGACACGAAAGCGUGGGUAGCAAACAGG
rnacentral:rRNA from 1 species